rnacentral:rRNA from 1 species
GUGAGGAAUAUUGGACAAUGGAUGGAAAUCUGAUCCAGCCAUGCCGCGUGCAGGAAGACGGCCCUAUGGGUUGUAAACUGCUUUUAUACGGGAGCAAUAAGGUCUAUGCAUAGAUUGAUGAGAGUACCGUAUGAAUAAGCAUCGGCUAACUCCGUGCCAGCAGCCGCGGUAAUACGGAGGAUGCGAGCGUUAUCCGGAUUUAUUGGGUUUAAAGGGUGCGUAGGCGGCUUUGUAAGUCAGCGGUGAAAUUUUGCAGCUUAACUGUAAAAGCGCCAUUGAUACUGUGAAGCUAGGAUUUGGUUGCUGUGGGCGGAAUGUGUGGUGUAGCGGUGAAAUGCAUAGAGAUCACACAGAAUAUCGAUUGCGAAGGCAGCUCACAAAGCCAAUAUUGACGCUGAGGCACGAAAGUGUGGGGAUCAAACAGGAUUAGAUACCCGGGUAGUCC